UACGGAGGGAGCUAGCGUUAUUCGGAAUUACUGGGCGUAAAGGGCUCGUAGGCGGCCAACUAAGUCGGACGUGAAAUCCCCAGGCUCAACCUGGGAACUGCGUCCGAUACUGGAUGGCUUGAAUCCGGGAGAGGGAUGCAGAAUUCCAGGUGUAGCGGUGAAAUGCGUAGAUAUCUGGAGGAAUACCGGUGGCGAAGGCGGCAUCCUGGACCGGCAUUGACGCUGAGGAGCGAAAGCCAGGGGAGCAAACGGG
rnacentral:rRNA from 1 species